AGUGGACCGGUAUGUCUACACGUAAGAGAAAAUGUGGUAAACGUGUUAUCUCUACACAAACAGCAAUGAAGACCUCACACAGUAAGUGUUCAGAUAAUUAAAAAUUAUUUUGUAGAAGUACCCCUUACUGGGGGGCAGGUCCUACACACUUCCCAGUUGGAAGGGAAUUACAUGCUGCCUUGAGAUCAUCUAUGGAGAUUAGGCACUUAAUGUUAUCUAAAGUGUCUUCCACAAUGCUACCUUUUACAAGGCAAGAAAUGUAUUCUAAAAUGAAGUUUCAUGUGGAUCCAUAACAAGGCUUUAGUGAUGAUAUGAGGUUUGUAAGGUUUCCGAGAUGUUGUAAGGUUUCCGAGAGAAGGUGCAUUGAUAAGAUGGGUGUAGUUUGUGCUACUUUAUUGCCCUCUUGGUAGUGAUGGGAUAAGGAAUGGACAAAAGACUUGACUUUACUUUAGCAUUUAAAGGAUACUAAGUUUAUUUCUGGCUUUGCGAGUUUCUAAAAUAUUAGGUCUGACAAUUUUAGUUCAUUCUGGAUAUCACCUUAAUUAGGUGAGAUUGUCUUUUGUUAAAGGGACAAGCACCAGGACCACAUUAGUGAUUCUAAGUAGUUAUGGUGCCUGCACUCUGUACAUACAGCAUUUGGCUAUGAAACACUCCAUAUACUGAGCUUAGCCCCUUUGCUGACAUAGGUGUAACCCCACUUCCAGCAGCAUCAUUUAUUUGCACAUAAUUGCAUUCAUUAGUUGAGAGUGGAUAGGGUGACCAGAUCCAUCAAGUUUUCAAGGACUCGUAUCACAUAUACGAAUUUAUGGAUAGCACAUGAAAAGGUGUAGUUUGUAGAACUCAGAAGAAGGUGUAUAAGAUUACGUAAUUAGGAAAUAAAGAAUCCUGCAGAAUACGCAUAACACACUGCACAGCAAUCCUUUUCAUGCUUUUUUUUUUUUUACAAAUAUGACAAAUUAUGUGUUCCUGAAAACAUGGUAGAUGUGGUCACACUAAAAAUGGUCAGCUGACACUGAGCCAAGGAAUGGCUGGUAGAAUUGGCAUCUGCAGCAUCACCAUUACCAUAGAGAAGCCUCAGCGUCUGAUGGGACCCAGGGGAGAGGGCAAAGUGUUGCAAAAUGGUUUGCCCCAUUAACACGAAACUGGGUCAGGGUAUUCCUGGCAUCAUAACCACUGAAUUAGGUUUCACUUAAACAUUAGACUUUAGAGGUUAUUAUGCUUGGAGUAACCUUUUAAUGUGGGUGAAUAGGCAAAUGAUGGCACCCCUUACUACACAUUUAUGGACUUCCCAAACCACCAUGGAAGUGGAACAUCUUUUUGAUUCUCUUAAAAGUAAUUGGAAAUGUGUUGAGGUAAGUUGUGAGGUCACCUCUGGUCAUCAAAAAGUGAGCAAAAGUGUCACAAGUGUGUAAAAGUUAGGCAUAGGGACAAUGUGGGUUAGUCACAUCCAGGUAUUGACUGAGUUGGUGGAUGUCCUAGGUUUUGUUGUGUAUAGGUGCCAUAUUGAGAUGUGCAUGUGAAAGCAACAGGUAGGAACAGGUAGUCCAGAUGGGAAUACUGCCUAUAAGGGUAAGAAAAGUAUAUCUAUGGGGCGUGGAAUUGUGUAUGCACCAGACAUCUACCAAGCGAGCCUUGUGUAGAGCAGCACAUAACUUACAAAUUUGGGAUAGCAGAGGAGAGAACUUGCCCGUGGAGGAGUCCAGACCAGGAUUCAUGGGAAUGUUCAAAUCCCCAUUGAACACUAGGAUUCCCUCUGUAAAGGAUGACAGUUGGUGAAUGACCUUCAAUAGAAAGAAUAUUUGAUUAGUGUCAGGAGCAUAAACGUUUGCUGAAGAAAACAUCAAGCCCUGUAUUUGAGCCCUGAUAAAAAUGUACCUGCCUGAAAGGUCAUUUUGGCAAAGUGUUGGAAUAGCCAGUAGAUUUUCCACCCCUUAUAAGAGAUCAAAAUGCCAGAAACCUAUGUGGCCAGAGGGACAAAGGGAGAACAGCAGGCAAUGCUUCAAAUUAACUAAUCUUCAGAAUUAAGAGCAGGAUCUGGCGCAACCAUUAGGCAUACUAGGCAUUCACCUAGGGCGCCGGCCUAAAGGGGGCGCCUACCGGGAUAUUUCCUGGUGGGCUCCCUUGUCCUGGAGCCACCCCCUUCAGCGCCGGGCCAAUCAUCCAGGCUGAAUGUCUAAUUCUGUGUGUCAGUGAGUGUGUGAGUGUUUGACUGUCAAUGAGUGUGUUUGUGUGUCUGUCAGUGAGUGAGUGUAUGUAUGUCAGUUAGUGUCUGUAUGUGAGUGUAAUUUGUCAGUGAGUGUAUGUAUGUCAGUGGGUGUCUGUCUGUGUGUGUCAGUGAGUGGGUGUAUGUCUUUCAGUGAAUGUGUGUCUGUCAGUGAAUGUCUGUGUGUCUGUCAGUGAGUGUCUGUCUGUGUGUCUGUCUGUCAGUGAGUGUGUGUGUAUGUCGGUGAGUGUGCGUGUCGGCCAGUGAGUGUAUGUCUGUCAUUGAGUGUGUGUGCCUGCCAGCAUGUGUCUGUCAGUGAGUGAGUGACAUGAGGAGGCGGCAAAAUGGAUCUUUGCCUAGGGCGGCAGAAAUCCUUGCACUGGCCCUGGUUACGAGUCACAGUAGCAAAAAUUUAAUGCUUUACAUUUUUAAGUUUUUGUUGCUGUCGCAUUUUGUCAUUUGAUGCCCUCUGGCUUUUGUGAAUAAAUUCUUAAGAUUAUUUAAUUGGAUACAUUGCUUGCUGUUCGGCCUCUUUGCUUCACUGAUGACUGUGUAGUAUAAUGAGUUUUUCUACAUAUGUUUUUUAUUAUAUGGUGUAGAGCAGCAACAUAUACAACAGCACAAUGGGUGUAAUGUAUUUAUAUAAUAUAUUUAUAUUUAUAUGUGCAUGUGUGUGCAUUUAAAGACUUGUGUUAAGAGACAGCACAUUCUCUAUAUAGUUAUUGCCAACAGUAAACGAAAAAUGUAAUUUUUAUACAUCAUUUUAUGACACCUUCCAUCUCAUUCUAUUCAGUAACCAAAUAAAACCAGUUUUACUCUUUGCCCACCUACAUAUAAUUCCUUUGCAGUAGGUUUCAAAAUUAGAUGCAACAACCUUUUCUAGGGCACUCUGUUCAGAUUAAACUUGUUAGAACAUUUGCAUAUAUAUAUAUAUAUAUAUAUAUAUAUAUAUAUAUAUAACGACUAGAGCAGAGGCAAGUGUGUGGCCACAUAGUCAUCAGGUGGCCAGAUUGCAUUAAUUUGGUCAGGAGUGUCUAAAGGGAACCUUGUUGUCAGAAGACUACAGUCAGUGUGUAAAUGACCUACUGUGACCUACAUUACUGGUAAUAAAUUAUGUAACCGAACAUGGUCUGUGGGAUAGACUCCCAAUGCCACAGAAUUGGAUGUUUGUUGCAGAGUGCCAAUGCGAUGCCUUAGCAUAUGUGAAGAUGCAAUACAGGGAAGGGUACAAGCCACAGUAGGUAAUAGAUGGCGUCUCCAAGUAAUUGUGGGAAAUGAUAAGGAAUUUAAGCCCCAAGAGUAGUCUCUAUGAAACACAAGUGAAUCCAGCAUGAACUGGAGGCACGUUGGCAGUAUAUAGUGAAACUAGAAGUUAUGACAGGUAAACACUGGCCCAAAGACUAAGGGGGAAACUCUGGGCUGAUUGUCAUUGGGUUAGUAUGAUGUGUUAGAGAUGAGAAAUCAUAUUUACACAACUUUCCCAUUUCAUGCUUUAGUCUUGAAAAGGGGAGGUUCUCCCGAAAAUUUGUCAUUACAGAAUUCUGUUAGUUCAACAAAAAGUUAUUACAACAUAUGGAUUUCCUCUGUUAUUUUACAUAAAUAUAUAUAUAUACAUAUAUAUAUAUGUGAAACACUACAUCCUUGCACUCGGGCUAUUGAGUCCAUAUUUUGCCAGAUGCAUUAAAUCUUUCAUCAGGAUUCUUCGAUCCUGAUGAAAGUCCCGUAAGUGGACUGAAACGAUGAUCUGUUUUUACUGAUUUCUUCAAUAAAGACUUGAAUUUUUAACAGAAGACCAUGAGUGUAGCUACCUAUUCUACUCUCUCUCUCUCUCUCUCUCUCUCUCUAUAUAUAUAUAUAUAUAUACACACACAUAUAUAUAUAUAUAUAGACUUGUAAUCAAAAUUAUUCAUCACCCAUGGAAAAUUAGGUUUGUUGUCAAAACUAAGAGACUUUCAGCUGUUUGCAAUGAACAAAUCAAACAAAAGCAAUUGAAAUGGCUCAACACAACAAUUAUUUCAAGUGUUUUUCCCCAAAUGCAACUAAAAAUGCAACUUAUAAUGACUAAUGCAGUUAUAAAUAUUCAACCCCCUGAAUAAAAUCUCUCACAACAGAAUAAAUAUGCAAAGCAGGUGUUGUCCCCCACCUGAUGCAGCUAAGCAAGGGCUUCAUUAGUUGCACCAGGUGUGCUUAAAGCUGGAACACAUUAAAUACUUGAACUGGCUAGGAGUUUGUGUCACAUUUAACUGCAUGUUAGAAAUAUGCCUAAGUCAAAGGAAUAGUCCACAAAAUUAAGAAAAUAAUUCAUCACCCUUCACAAACAAGGAACAGGAUACAAAAAGAUAGCGAAGGCACUGACUGUUCCUAGAGACACCGCUGGAAGCAUAAUUCUCAAGUUCAAAGUUGAAGGAACAGUGGUCACACUGCCUGGGCGGGACAGAAAAAGGAAGCUAUCAAUUGCAGCAAGCAGAUUGUGACAAACCCUCAAGUGACCACAAAUCAUAUAAAAUCAGGGAUGUAAUUGGGGGCUCUUGCUGGGUUUAAGUGUAGAUGUCUAGUUGAGAGGAGAGAGUGGAGUUGUAGAGGGAGGUUGCAGUAUUAGGGCAGGUGAGGUUUGAGAUGGGUUGGUGAAGAAUCGUUGUAGGUCAAAAAAGUGGAGGUUUCUGGGAGAUUGAUGUGGUGAGGGUGGUUAAUUUGUGUAUGGGGUAUGCUGAUGUCAAAAGUCAGAAGGUAGUUGUCAGAUAGAGGUAGUUGUCAGAUAGAGGAAAUUGAACUUUGGAGAGAUGGGUGAAGAUGAGUUCAACAGUGUUUCUUGCUGUAUGAGUUGCUGAGUUAGACCACUGUCUGAGUCCAAAAGAGGAGGUUACAGAGAGCAGACGAGAGUCCUUUAAGGCAGUUGGGGUUGUUGAUUGGGAUAUCAAAGUCCACAAGAAUGAGGGAAGAAGUGCUAGAGAAGAGGAAAUGGGGUAGCCAGGAAGAAGAGUGUUAAAUAAAUAGCCUAGGAUGACCGGUGGGGGGGGUGGAGUCUAAAUUGAUGGCAAUUCUUAGAGGAGUGGGCUUAAAUAGGCGGACAGUGUGAACUUCAAAGGAAGGAAAACAUAGGGCAUGAGCAGGGAAGAUUGGUUGAGGCCUACACCACCUUCUUUACAGUUGUUUGGUUUGGGAGUGUGGGAGAAUUGUAGCCCACUGAAACAUAAAGAAGCAGGAGUAGGGCUAUCAGAGGGGAUGGUUAGGUCUCAGUGAGUGCAAGUAGCGCAAAACAAUUUGAGAUGAAAAGGUCGUGUAUGGCUGUUGAUUUCAUACUGCUGCAGAUGGAGUGGGCGUUCCAGAAUAGACUUGAACCCAUAGAAAAUCUCUGGUGGGAUUUGAAGAAGGCGGUUGCUGCACGCAAACCUAAUAGGCUAAGAUUGCUCAGGAACACUGCCAGAAGCUGGUGUAUGGCUAUGCAUCUUGUUUGUAAGCACCAAAGAUAGUUUCCAUGAAGGGGUGUAAAAAUUGUGAGACUGGAGAAAUCAUAAUAAGUUGCAUUUUUCUGUUGAAUUUGAAACCACUCAAAGCAUUCAUUGUGUUGACUCAAAGCAUUCUUUGUGUUGAGAUAUAUUUUAAUUGUUUUGUUCAUUGCAAACCGCUGAAAGUCUGUCAAUUUUGACAAUAAUCUUAAUUUUCAAUGAUUUUGAUUGUAUAUCUAUCUAUCCAUUUAUCUACACACACACACAUAUGUAUGUGUGUGACUUUUUUUAAAAAUUAGCAUUUGCAGGAAAACAUCUGACAUAACAUAGAAUUUCUGUGAAUACCACAUUUGGAACAUAUAUAACAUGCAUGUUUAGGGCUGAAACGUUGCAUAUUGUUAGUUUUUUAGAAGAAACACAAAAACAUAGACAGAGACUGAAAGAUUUUCUCAUAGUUUUGUGUUUGUGGCCCUACAUUUACUUGAGAAUGUUGCAAGAAGCCACUGCAAGGGACUGGUUUGCUCUUUCUGGAGUCAUGGGACACAUGACUAAUGGAUAUGACCAAUCAAGGUAGAGCAGUAGAAUCUAGAUUUCAAGCAGAGGUGAAAGGGCAGGAGAGGACUUAACAAAAGGAUAAAGAGACUCUGCACACAGAGCAAUUCUAUUAGGUGAACAAGACAUAACAGUGAGGCAGCAAUAUGUCUGCAUGAUCCUGUGACACAGAUAUUGACUCUGCUCUCUAAUUAUAGGUUGCUGAAUGAGAAAGAGGUUGUGACAUAACAUCUUUUAUCCUGACCAUGCUCACAUUCAAGCUAGCCAUGACAGUACAUUGUGGACUGCUGCCAAUGUUUGUGAGUCUAGAAAACAAAAAGACUGGCUCAAACCAUGCUGCUUCAUCAGAUACUUAUCUUGAUCGUCAUUGAGACCUAACCGACUGACGACCUAAAAGCUGAAAGUGGCGAACAAUCUCUCAACUUGAGCUAUGCUCUGUUGAAGCAAAACCCUGUUGCCCCCUCUUCUUUUGGGGGAUAUUUCCGUCCCCGCUGGGAAAGAUACUCAAUCUGCACUAUUGGAAGAAUUUCUUGCUGUUCCAGAGACCAUGUGGUGUGUCUAUGAUGACCACUGCACUAAAACUCCAGCAGAGUAAAGAAGAAUGGAAAGGUCAGACAUGGAAGGAACUCUUAGAUGCAAAAGAUUUGUUGGGUGAUCUGGGACUAUAUUAACAGCCGAUAUCACUUCCUAACUACAAGUACCAAAUCACAGACACAAGCCAAUACUACAGCUCAUGGUUCUUCUUUCACUUGGAGCAGCAAUUCUUCCCAUAGCCCAGAGUCCUAGAGUCCCAGAGGGCUCUUUGUGACAUGGAGUUCCUGGAGGGCUUCAAUCCGGCACCUUGGAGUAAGAGGAUCCUUGGACAUAGGGAAACGGCUCCCAUCAAGGCCUAGGCUAACUACAUGAAAUCUAGAUACCUAACAAGCUCUGUGAAGGGGCAAGAAGUGACAUCAUGCCGGGCAUAGAGACUGGCUUUCUGUUGUGGCCUGCUUGUAGGGUCGGAUGACUCCUAGCUGAAGAUAUCUCUGUAUACAAAUAGUAUUUGCUCUAUUAGAAUUGCAGUGAUUUAUGAUAUCUUCUUUGUUGUGUUAUUUUCCUGAUUAUUCCCAAUAUCCAGUGGUACUAAAACUUCAUCACCCUAGCUAUAUGUCCAACAUGAGCUUAUUUUAAAAGUCUCACGCAGUGUGGUGAACUGAUCUGUCUUACCUGUUUAGUUUAUCUUGCAUGUCUCUAACACACACCUGUUUGAAUAUUUUGGCCUUAUCAUACAAAGCAAAUAAAAUUGCACAUUCUUAAUGUAUCAAGUAUUACUUUGGUGACUUCUUUUAUUUUGUAUAGUGUUAUUGAUAUGUUAUUGUCAGCUUGUCUGUUCAUCUCUGCACUACAAAAAUAAAGAUUGACAAAAAAAAAGUUAGGGAGGGAGGUUCAGGAAAAUUAAUUAAACUAAAAUCUAGAGGUUAGCAAAAUGGAUUAAGAGGAGAGACAAGAAAAAGACUUCUGAUUACAGAGAUAUCGGUGGAAACAUUUGAAGCAAAUGAUUAACUAUAGUGUUUAUUCGGUUAACUUUAAAUUUGAGUAAAUUGAAAUCUGAAUGGCAAAAUUGAAGCACAAUUAGACUUUUGUCUAACAUAGCCUGAUUAGAGAAUUUUCCAGAUCUACUAUUUGGACUACAUUUUAAAAAUUGCAAGAGAAGAGGAAAGAGAUAUAGGGGGAAGAGAGGAAAACACUAAGAUUGGUUUAAAUGUAAUGUCAUAUAGCUGACAUGUAUUUUUCCUAUAGGAUAUAGCUUAGAGUUAGCUGUAGUUGAGUCUUUACAACAGGCAAGAGAGUGGAAUUAAGUUCUGAGCCUUAAACAGUAGUGACUGAUUUGGAAACCAAUUGUUUGCCACAGUUCAUAGAGUUAAUGUGGUCAAAGGUUUAAGAUUCAUAUGAUCUAAUUCAAUUAUAAAAAAUUCAGGAAAAUUGAAAAGUCCAUUUCAUUUAUACAUUAAUUAAACAUGUUGAUUUAUUUUUCAUGUAAUAAUUCCCAAAAUCUAGCUGCUCAUAAUUGUUACUGUAUAUGAACAGUUUGAAAUUAGCAAUUACCUUUUGCUUUUUCUUGCCAUUUUCUUUUUUAUUACCCAAUGUUAUACUUUUCAACAUUUUAAGAGACAAAAGAGAGACACUAUAAUUUUAGGGGCAUGACUAAGAGACAGGGCUACUCCAGUACAUUUAAAGACUCAAGGACUCAGUUUAAUAUUUAUGGAUAAACUUUUCAAAUUAUUUUUUUUUUCAAAAUGUUAAAAUACCAAAAAAUAUAUUUAAAAAAUGUAAUAAAUUCUAAAUGUUACGGCGGUCGGGGCCUGACCAUGGAGCCGACAGGACGUUAGCCUCAACAGCUCCGGCCAAAGGCGGCAGAAAAAAACGACACUACGCGACGAAAACGGCAACCAAAUGGCAAAUAAAAGACUGCUAGGCGAAGGGGGACACCGGGAAGCACUCAACUAUACCCUCCAAGCGACUAUUGCUCCGGCAUACACCCGAUACCCUGGCGAGGCCUCCCAUCAUGGCUGACGCGGGAGAGAAAUUUGCCACGGAACCCUUGUUCCCCCCUCUGGUCCAGCGGGGGUUAUCCCGGACCACCCCCACACAAUCCCCCUGACAAGAGGAAGCCCGACAACCCGAACAGGCAAUAUGGAGGCCGCGGGUGGGGACUACAAAAUGGCGAAUGGCACACACAAUGCAGUCCUAAACAAAGUCUGGAGGGACACAGAGCUCCGACUAAAUUACAUAUUCUGCUCCUUUCGGGGGAAGCUAGAGAGGCUUAUGUGGCCCCCGGAAUCAAAGAACCUGGCCGAUGGCACACCACAAGGCCCGCCACAGGAGACCCAAAAGAGAGACACUCAGACUCUCACCCCAGGCUAAGCAAGCACCUGAGAAGGGCCACUCGGGUGACAGAUGCCCAGAACCACGCCAACAACAGAGGCCACCAGACAAAGGUGAGGAAAAUCAACAACACCCCCAUGAUGCAGUGCCAAACACCACCUCACUUGCCAGAAGCGUCUCAGCACAAGAAGGGCAAAGGCCAACACAACCGACCAAGAAAGAGGCAGCCUACGAGGCCCAAAAUGGCAUCAGCGGCAGACCAACUUCACCGCUACAGAUGCAGCCGACGACCACACCAAAAGGUGGGACCCACAACCGGGACUAUACUUUACUUGCCAAGAGGGCCACCUCAUCAUGUAGAGAUAUCCCGCUCCCACAUUAUCAGACCGCAGGCAUCGAAGCAUGCACCAGCACAAGAGGCCCACAAGACCCCGCAGGGCAUCAGCUGACGGACACGAUAAAGGGGCAGCCACAUGAACUCUAGGACUGCUGCCUCCAUCACAGAUGCAAAUUACACAAGCUCUUACAGGCUCACCACACAUAUACCCACAGACCUACAGCAGAGUGUAGGCUCUACCCAUCAAAGCCCCAACAAUUAGAUACAUACACCAGCUACACCAGGUAUCAGCGGGGGGUAUAGCCCUUGGGACAAUCAACACACUAGCAAUGAGAGCGGUAACCUAAUUAUACCAAAUUGUGUCAGUCUAGCAUACACAGACAAUCUAAUGUUUAAACGCUCAUCUUUAUGCUACAGACCACUAGAAAUGUAUAUAUUAACUGAUUUUUCACUUUGCCUCUUACAUUGCUUUAAUCAAUAUGUUGGCCAUUACGCUAGUCUCAUUAACUCAUUGUUCAUAAUAGUGCAGUAUCAUCUUGAGAGAGGGGUCCGCCGACACUUAAAAAAUGCUACAGCCUGUUUACUUACCGUUAAAAAUUUUGAUUGCAUGCAAGGCGCUAUAGGCGUGGGGCUACCUAAGCCUGCUUAGUUAUAAUCGUUAAACGCAUAACCUUCACAGAGUGUAUUACAAAUGCUGAAGACAACGCUUGCAUCUUAUAUGUUAUGUUUUCCCACUGUCUAACCCUCAUACCAUCAUAACCAAAAAUUUGUGCUGUCUAUUCAAAUGCCAUAUCAAACUUAUUAUACCUGUUAUCAUUCUGCUUGCGACACUAUUGUGGCUGACUUACUGUUACUGCACGCACAACAAAAAAUAAAGAAUUUAAAAAAAAAUGAUAAAUGUUACAACAUUUUAAAUUUCUUUUUAUAAUAUUAAAUACGUUUAUCCAAAUAUAUGAAAUUAUUUGAAAAGCUUAUCUUACAAUAUUCAAUUAAGGCUAAAAUAACAAAAUGAUUCCAAUAUGUUAGAAAAAAGUUUUCAAAUGAUGUAUUUACAAAAAAUUCACAUACACUUAAGACUAUGAUUUUGAGCUAUAGAUUUGUUCCACUGUAAUUUAAGGGUUUCUCUUCAAGUUCCCCAUACAUAUUAUAUAUAAUUUGCUAAACAACAGGAAGGGUUUUAAUUUGAUGUGACAUAUACAUAUAUAAUGCCUCAUUUAUAAUACAAAAAUAUUACAAACACGCAACACAAAAAUUAACAGUUUAGGCAAUAUUAAUUUUUGCAGAAUAAGUGCAGUUUAUGAAAAGUAAUUCAAAAUAAUUUCAGUUUAUUUUUGAUAGUUGCAGGUUACAAAAUACAAGGAGUAAAAGGAAAUUUCAAUGUAGAGCGAUUGUAGAUUUUCAUGUUUGUCUUGUAAGCCAUCACAGAAAACACAAUUGCCACAAAAACGCAUAUAUUUAUAUAAAGUCGAUAUCACAGGCUAUUUACCUGAGAGAAUUUUGACAUUAUGCAUAGUUGUCAACAUGUGAAAAUACGUUCCAUGGUCACUUUGAGGCACAGCCAGGGCCAGAUUAAGAGCCCAGUGGGCCUGGUGCUGACAAUUAUGAUGGGGCCUAAUUACAGAAAUGUCACGGCCCCCGGUUCGCCGCGAGGUGCGGUCGCACCGGACCAGUGCGACCGCGCCAACGAACUGAACUUACCUGCUCAGCAGCGAGUUGGGAGCCGCUCUGCCAGGUUCUCCCGGCUGCCUGCCCGGGUUCAAGAUGGUGCCGAACACACGGUCGCAGCUAGAUAUAGCUCUGCCCCCCAGGGUCACACACACACACGUUCUGCAGUCAGAGGGAUAUUUAACCUAGGUUAUUGCCCUGUCGUGGUUUUCGUUCCUGGUUCCUGAAUCCUGAGAGUGUGUUUCCUUGUCCUGUUUUUGAUAUUCCCAGUAUUUUGACCUUGGCUAUUCCUGACUAUUCUGAUUCCUGGCUUCCCUGACUUGGCUUGUUAAAUGGUAUUGUAUAUUUCUGGCUCCCUUGACCAUUCUCUGUUUUUAAAGUAUUAGUCCGGCCAUUCUAAGGACCGGUUUACGUUUUAUCAUUUUCUGUUCGGUUUAUGUAGAUGUUACAUAGUUCUGCGUGAUGGACCACACUAGCAGUCAUGACAAGAAUCUUAGUCAUACCUCUCAAGCGUCAAGUAUCUAAUGGAGAUGGUGUUGGAGGGAAACUCAAAGGAUGCAGCUUUAAGAAAACACACACUCUAUGCUAAUCUCUCUCUAAUUUAUGCUUUAAUCUUUCAAGUAAAUCCAUACCCCCUAACAGCAGUGUCCAGUGAAGCAGGAAGUCAAUGUGGACACUGGGAGAAAUGGGGACACAGACACUAGGGACACAGAGACACAGACACUGGAAGACAUGGGGACACUAAGACACUAGGGACACUGGCUGGGAGGCAUGGAGACACAGGCAUGGAGACACUUGGGGACACUGGGAGAUAUGUGGACAUUUGGGGACACUAGGAACACUGAGAGACAUGGGACACAGAUACUGGGAGACAUGGGGACACAGACACUAGAGACACUGGCUGGGAGACAUAGGGGCACUGGGAGACAUGGGGACACUGAGACACAAGGGGGACUGGCUGGGAGACAUGUGGACACUGGGAGACAUGGGGACACAGACAUUUGGGGACACUGGGAGACAUGUGGACACUGAGACACUAGGGACACUGAGAGACAUGGGGACAUAGACACUGGGAGACUAGGGGACACUGAGACAAUAGGGACACUGGCUUGGAGGCAUGGGGACACUGUGUCCCACGUGCCUCUGUGUCUCAGUGUGUCUCCCAAUGUCCCCAUGUGUCUCAGCAUCCCCAUAUCUCACAGUGUCCCCUAGUUUUUCAGUGUCCCCUAAUGUCUCAGUGUCCCCAUGUCUCCCUGCUGCCUUUCCCCCCCAUCCUUCAUUUACCUGAGCUGUAGGCUGUUUCUGUAGGCUGGGAGCUGCUGUCUGGCCUCUCUGUGCUGUGUAGCUGCUCCCCUGCGGAUCAGUGAGUAGAGAGAGGCAGGGAGUGAUAUGCUGUAACUUCCUAUCCCUGCCUCUUUCCACACACAGUGACCCCUACUGGUUAGUGCUGGUAUUGCAGAGUAAUCUCCGUUUAUACUGAGAAAAAUACCUGCAUUUGUAUUGCCGGUAUUACUGCAAUACCAGCACGGUCAGGCAGCCUCAAAUACCAGGUGUGCUGGUAAAACACCAGUCAGGUGGCAAACCUAACAGUAGUGUGUGUGUAAAAAAAAAAAAAAAUUUUUAAAUGGGCCUAUUCCAUGGGCCUGGGCCUGGAGCUGCAGCUCCAUCAGCCCGUAUGUUAAUCCGGCCCUGGGCACAGCUAUCAAUUAUGUACUUGAAAAUUUAACACACCCGCUGCCCAAAGCUCUGCCCACUCUGCACAACCCACAUAAUUAAUCUCCGCUUACUUAUCAUAGUGAUGAUUAUAGGAUCUACUCAAUAAAGAGAGAAUUACAGGGAAUUAAGAUGGGAAUUUGCAUUGUAUGUUUCUUUGUGUAAGCGAUGCAUUGUGUGUUUCUGUGUCUGUAUGCAAGGGAUGCAUUGUGUUUCUGUGUGUGUGUGGGUGGGGGAUGCAUUGUGUGUUUCUGUGUGUGUAAGGGAAGCAUGGUGUGUUUGUGUGUGUGUAGGGAUGCAAUGUAUGUUUCUGUGUGUCUGUGUGUGAGUAGGGAUGCAUUGUAUGUUUUUGUGUAUGUGUAAGGAUGCAUUGUGUAUAUGUGUGUGUAGUGUGAAAGAGAGAGUUUGUGGGGUAGGAUAGGACCUUGCAGGAGUCUUGCAGGGGGUGAGAGGGGAGCAGAUCUUUAUUUUUUAUUAUUAUAUUUAUUUUGUUAAUAUAAUUUUUGUAUGUGCCCCUUGUAUGUGCUCCUUGCUGGCCUGCUAUUGUUUUCAGGUGAUCAUGCUGGGGAUCCCCAUAUCUGUUUGGGUUGAUUAGACGAUUGUGCUUGUCCCAUUCUGAAUGUAAUAGAAAUGAGGCAUAGUUAUUACUCUGUAGGUAAUUGGGUUUUUUUUUAUGUUUACAUUUUUAUUUAGCUUUUCCAAAUUACAGAGAACAUUUCUUUCAGAAUUUUUUUAAAAUAAAUAAAUAAAUAAGAAAGAAAACAAUAUACAAAAAGAGAAGGAAAAAUACCAUACAAAAUAUUAUAUUGCCAUCUUUUACAUUAUACAUCCUCCGAUCUAUUCUGACUUAUUUUCAACUUCAGUAACACUUUCAUAGCCUUUUUAUAUCUUCCAAUCACCAGCACACCCUUAUUUUCAAUAAGCAUUUCUGUCUUAUCCCUUCUACACUUUAUACAUAUCCUAAUUCUUGUUGAAUUACAUUUUAUUCCCUCCUGCUCUAUCUAUAAAUUGAUCUGUCUGUUAUUUAUUUCAGUUUUCGUCCGAAUGUGUAAAAGUAAAAAUUAAUUGUAGUAAUUAUUUCUUUUAUGUAUCUACAUUUCCAAUUUAAUUUAAUUUAUGAAUUUCCCAAUCAAACGUCUAUAUCAAUCAGCUCUUGCUGCUUCAAUCUCAAUCACUUUGGAAGGCUUUUCUCAUUUGUUUUAUAUUGUCUCCUUUAAAUUAUAUUAGCCAUCUGUAUUUAUGAAGCUGUUUUGCUUUUUAAUUUCCCCUCAUUUGCUCUUAAUUCCUCUCAUUUCAUUUCCACCUCGCCCAGAUUUUAUCAUGGAUAUCUUGUUUGCCUUUAAGCCUAUAUGCCAUCUCCUCGUAGGUUUUAGAGAUAGAAAUCUUUUCCCUUAUCAUACUUAAUGAUGGCACCUGUUUUGUUUUCCAUAAACUGGCUAUAGCAUUUUUUGUAGCCAUUAAAAUAUGUACAAUCAGCACUUUUUCUUGUAACAGUAUUCUCUCUGGAAUAAUGUGUAGUAGGAAUAUUUCUGGUUGCAAGGGCAUCAGUGUGUUUGUAACUUUAAAAAUUAGUUGUUGAAUGUGUUUCAAUACAUCAAUAAUCUUCUUACAUUGCCAAAAUAUAUGUGUCACAGAUCCUUCCAUUUCCCCACAUCUCCAGCAAGUCCCCAUGUUCUCUGGAUAUAUUUGUGCCAAUUUUUGAGGUGUCAUGUAUAGUGAUGUCCCGAACGGUUCACCGAACGGUUCGCCACGGACGGCGAACAUAUGCUCUGUUCGGUCCGUCCCCUAUUCGUCAUCAUUGAGUAAACUUUGACCCUGUACCUCACAGUCAGCAGACACCUUCCAGCCAAUCAGCAGCAGACCCUCCCUCCCAGACCCUCCCACCUCCUGGACAGCUCACUAAGAAUGCUGCUUCACAAUGAAUGUAAAAUGGAUGCUGUCCAAGAGGUGGGAGGAUCUGGGAGGGAGGGUCUGCUGCUGAUUGGCUGGAAUGUGUCUGCUGACUGUGAUUUACAGGGUCAAAGUUUACUCAAUGAUGUCAAUAGGGGGCAGACCGAACAGCACAUAUGUUCGCCGUCCGUGGCGAACCGUUCGGCGAACCGUUCGGGAUAUCACUAGUCAUGCACCAACGUAGCCACAUUUUGUAUGUUGCUUCUAUGUGUUGUAUAUUAUAUGUGGCAAACUUAGUUGAUCUCUAGCCCUAUACCAUUGUAAGGGCUCCCACUCAUUAUUUAAUUUCUUCUCCCAAUUUAACAUAAAAAGCAGUUUCUCAGGUUUUUCUAGAUUUAAUAUUCCUCUGUAGCUUAUUGAGAGAGGCUUAACUUGGGGUUGUCUCCCCAAACAUUGCCUCCCAAAAUCAUUCACCCUAGAAUCUUCCACCUCUUUCACUUGAAGUUUCAUUAAAAUAUGUUUUGAUAUUGGAAGAGUACAAAUAUUCCGUCUGGAACAGACAUUUUAGAUCAAAUCAAUAAUCAAGGAGUUAUGGAAAAAAAUUUUUUUUUAACAACAGUAAUAUCUCCAAAUAUAAUAAAAUUUGCAAACGACGAGGAUCCCUGGGAUCCACACACUUAACACUACAGACCCUACACACACUACAUGCCGACCCAUACAUGGCUAUAUAGGUUUUGUUUACUAUUGCAUGCAGAAAUAGGCCACUGUCGAAAAUAACCAUGUUAUUACGCAAGUAGCACAUAAAACGCUACAAAAAUGCAAAAUAUUACUAAAGAUAGCCUCUGCGUAGGUGCAUUUACUACUGCCUUUGCUAAACGAGCAGAGCCUCUGCAUAGGCGAUGAUGCAGAAAAUGUUUGACCAUGUUAUAUGUGCGCUAAACAUAUGUUUACGAAAUAAAAACCAUUUAACACAAAUAUAAUAAAAUUUGGUCCAGAUGGUUUGAAUAUUAUAAUAGGUCUGACCGACCCUGAGUUAUCCAACUGGGCACGAAAGGUAAACUUAUAGUCGCGUCUGGUUUGCUUUAGAUUAACCUUAAUUAUUUAACACUACUAAACGAAAUGCUCCCCUCUCCACCACCGCAGCGCGCUUGGGCCCCUUCCCCUCCCCCCCCACUAGAUUGUAUGGGAGGUAUAUUAUACCCAUGUUGUGAUGCCUAUUUUGUACCUUUAUGUAUGUAAGAUUCUGUGUAACUUUUACGACAAUGCAAAGCAUAAUUAGAAUGAUAACUACAGUACCUCCAUUGCUACAGGAAUUGGAGGAACCGUAGUCACACAGUCUAUUCCCAUUAUAAGAGUGGAAAAUAACAAUUUGUACAUUGUCAUUAUUGUAUGUAGUUAUUUAUGUCAUGUAAGCAAACGUAUAAUGCAGAAAGAAAAUGUCUACCAAAGUAUGAUUCAUUACUGUUACAUGGAUACGUUUGAUUGUCAUGUCUUUUUAUAUGGAGAUACAAUAAAAGUUAUUUAUUUAAAAAAAAUAAAAAAUGUUUCACUCUGAGAUAUGUAUUUAAUUUGUAUGUUUGGGAAUUGAUGUAUAUCUGAGCCUGAUAUUAGAUGUCAGGUUUUUGUUAACCCUUUCUUUCUCCAUGUUGUUAUGUUUAAAUCUUUUGUAUAGUAAGUUAAACUUUGCAGAGUUCCAUAAUAAAAAUAAUUGCUUUUCCCCAGAAGUUUAGGGGCCCAGUAUCUCCACAACCUCAGAGAGAUUUGUGUUCUGGAUAGGAAAUUAUGAUUUCUAAGAUGAGCGCAAUGUGUUGUCCAACUGAGAUCCAAUAUCUCUUAUUGUGGAACAAUGCCAUAGAGGUAUACUAGAUGUAUCUAUUAGUGCUGCUGUUUGUGCCAGUAUGGAUGCUAUGUAAUAUUUUUGAAUACUCCCAUUCUACCCUCUGUCAUUUUGCAGCUCAUUGUAUCUAAUGAUAUCCUUGGGGGUUUUCGUUUCCAAAUAUGAGCAUUUAUUGUUGUCUGAAAGUUUGUUAUAAUUGAUUUAGGAAUCAUUAUGGAUCUAAAAAGAAAUAAGAUCUGUGGUACUAUGCACAUUUUAACAGAAUUAAGCCAUCCCACCCAUGAUCUGGUGCUCUUAUCCCAGCGUUUUAAUGUAUCUUGUACUUCUUGUAGUAGUUUGCUAUGGUUAUUUUUUUUUAUCAUUUCUCGUGGAUAGAAGUGCUUCAAAGUGUUACAUAGAAGGUUGCACGUGCUUUAAAGUGUUACAAAAUGCUUUGGAAUGUUGCAAAGUAUUGUAAAGCGCUGCAAAGUGCUUCAAACGUUUAGGAAUAAUUUAAAGUAAAUUAAAGUGAUUCAAAAGUGAUCCAAAACGCAGCUGCAGCAAUGACAAAGUGACAUAAAGGAUACAAAGGAUAAAAAUAAUCUAAAAGACCAAAAGCGAUUUGAAGCGAUGUGAAGAGAUUGAGUAGGGGAAAGGAGUGAACAGCAAAUUAAAAUUUACUAGAUUAAAACUACAUAUUAUGUUGAAGUAGUACAAUAUAUCACUGAACAAAAAGAAAGAGGGGAAAAAAGAGAAAAAGGGGAAGAUGUAACAUAUUCUUCCUCACCUUGCGGUCAGCGGCUGUGCAUCUGCUUGACUAACACUUGCGGCAUGUUAAUGGACGCCGGCCUCUGCUGAUCCGCGGCUAAUUGUACCCCCACGUCCGCUCAUGUGAUUGACGACGUUGACGUGCACGUUGGCGUGCACGUGACGUUACGCACGUGCUGCGCGCGUAUGUUUUAGGGUCAAGGAGCGAUCUCAGUCAAUUGAAAAGGUGAAGCAGGUAUUUAAACUUAAAAUUACCUUUCCUCAUUGCCCUGUUGCGGUUUCACUAGUGGUUGUCCAAGAGAGUGUUCCUGAUUCAAGUUUCUUCUGGUUUUUGACUUUGGCUUUGAUUUUGACUUCCCUGUAUUUCUGGUAUCCUUGACCUCUGGCUUUCCUUUAUCGCUGUGUUCCUAUCUGACCUCGGCUAGCAUCCUGACUAUGUUAGGUACGUUAGUCCGGCCAUUCUAAGGCAUGGUAAUACGUUACCUAUCAGUCCUCUGUGUGAUACAAUUCUAUGUGCUGGAUCAAUCCUGACAGAAGAGAAAAGGAAAAAAAAAAAAAAAAGAGAAGAAAGAAAGGAAAAGAACAAGAAAAGGAGAAGAAAGAGAAAGGAAAGGAAGAGAAAAGAAAGGCAAAUAAUAUAUAUAUAUAUAUAUAUAUAUAUAUAUAUAUUGUAAUAGUACCUCAACAUUGUAUCAACUUAGUACUGCAUAAAUUUAAUACAGUUUUUCAGCACCACCUACACGACCACCAGAUGGCGCCGUAGAACUCACAGAGACAACAUGAGUUCUUAAAACAAAUAAGAGAAACAGAGGAAGAACAGAGCAGGGUGCUGGAAGCACUGCGAGAUCUCCCUCAUAUCACUCUGAAGUGGGUGAAGGAUGUCUUUGAUCUGGGCACAAGGACAUCUGCCCUGGAAGAAAAAAUGGAUGAGCUUUGCGAGAACAACAAAAAAAAUUAGGAAAAAACUUAAAAUGGAAGCAAUCGAAAACUCCAGGGAAAUAUGGCAGAUAUAGAGGAUAGGUCUAGAUGCAACAAUAUCUUCGUUAGGGGUGUGCCCGAAACAGUCCAUAGGGCAGAUAUACCACCUUAUUUAGUCAAGCUGUUCAAGGCAAUAGUUCCCACUGUUACUACAGAAGACUUGCGGUUUGAUAGAUCACAUAGGGUGCCAAAGCCUAAAAUUUUAACUACAGAGGAUCCCAGAGAUAUUGUGAUGAGGCUACACUACUUAAGCACAAAAGAGAAGAUUUUAUCCACCCAAAGGAGGACUACAACAAUGCCGUCAGCAUACUCGCAUAUCUUAUUGUUUUUGGACUUAUCUGCUAUGACUAUGGCUAGAAGAAGAGAUUUCCUAAGAGUUACUAAACACUUAAGACAUAAUAAUGUGACCUACAGAUGGGGAUUUCCAACUUAAUUGCUGAUUUGAAGAAACGGAGUUAUGACGAAGAUAGAAGACCCUGAAGGACUACAAAUACUACAUAAAUGGGGUCGAACAGGGACUCCAUUAGAAACAGUGGACAGUUCGCAUGUGAGAAAAAUGCUACCAGAAUGGACGACAGUGCGUAAUGAUAAAUAGCUGGUCACAAGAAGUGGAAAUAGCACAUUCAUUUACGGUUGAACUGAAAAAUAUAUAAAGGAUUGAAGGCAAAACAUUUUAAAACUAGUGUCUGUUACAAACCAGGUCUUGGUGAACUACUGCAUACAAUGUAAAAUGGUGGCAAGGGAAGGCCUUCGAUGCUUGGAUGAUUAAAGGAAGGGUAGGAGUUUGAGAGACUCUAUUAUAUUAUACUUAAGGCGUUAGAUGCUUGGAUGAUUAAGGGGAGGGUAGGAGUUAGAGAUACUCCAUUAUUUUAUACUUAAUUUAUUUACCUUUCCAAAAGCUGGAGGGGAGAUGGGGGGAACCGGAAAAGGAGGAGAAAAGGGGAUGUAUAUAUAUUUUUCUUCUUCUUCUUCCUUUUCCUCUCUUCCUCCUCUGAUCCCUCUGACCCCACCCCAAAGAGAGGAAGAAAGAAGGGGAAAGAAUUUAAAAGAAAGGAAAGGAAAACUUUUGUAUAGAGAUAACUAUGCUACAGAUUUAAAAGCCAGGCAGAUGUAUAUAAUAUAUAAGCAGAAGAUGGCUUGUCUCCCGCAUUUUCAUUUUCAAUCACUCCCUCAAGUAGGUUAUACCCUAAGGGGUAAUCAACCACCAAUGUUUUAUGUUGGGCAGACCUGCAAGAUUAAGACGAUUUGUCUAACUUUUUUUUUUUUAAGUAUAUAUGUGUUUUUUGUUUGUUUUUUGGUUUUGGGUACUUACGAGUAUAUGAGAUUUUUUUAUAUCAGUAAUUUCUUAAUUAUGUAUGUAAACAAGAUAAAAACUAAACUACAAGAUCUCUUAUGACCAAACGGAGUAAACAUAAAGCCUAUAGAGUGUUAUAGAGUUAGGAACGAGGUCAAACAGUGAUAUAAUAUGGCUCACUACUUUAAUAUCCUAACAUUCAAUGUGAAUGGUCUUAAUACUCCCCAUUAAAGGAGAUUGUUGUUCCAGCAACUGCGCAAAUCACAGGUGGUGGUUGCGUGCUUGCAGGAAACACACUUUUGUGCUCAGAGACUCCCAGUUCUCACCUCGCCUAGAUACCCGAUCAGCUACCAUGCCUAUGCCAAAAAUAAAACAAAGGGAGUGAGUAUGUUAUUUCAUGUAGCCAUUUAAAUGCGAUAGAGAAUAUAAAGAUAAGGAAGAUAGAUUACUCAUUUUGGUGGGUUCCUUAGGUGAGGAAAAAGUAACAAUAGCAAACAUAUAGCCACCAAAUUGUAACCAAAUAAGCUUUUUACAGAAAGUGAUAAAAUGCAUUGAGAAAUAUAAACAAGGCAAACUAUAUAUUUGCGGUCAAUAAAUAGUAGUAGAGAAAUAAAACCUACGCGUACCAGGAGAUCUCUUACCAGUUAGUGCAAAUGGAGAGACUACAAAUGUCUCAACUGAUAUAUAUAAUUGCAAGGUAUAAUCAUGGGACUUUUAUUUCAAAUCUGAUUUGUAUGUGUGUUUCAAUUUCAAUUUUAAUUUCAUUUAUAAUAAAUAUGGAAUUUUAUUUAAAAUCCCUUGGACUUUUUUAAAAUCAUCACUGAUCUUUCAAGAUCCUAUUACUAUAUACCUGCAUUGGUGGUAUAAUAGUAACGGCUAGUUUGUUGCUACCAUCUAUCAUCUUUACCAGUAUUGGUCAAAUUAUAUUGAAACCUGAUAUUUAUUUGCUACUGUUAUUCCAUUUAGCAGAAGCAUAUGAUACAGGUUGUGACACUGUUACUUUUAAGGACUUUGCACACUACAAGCAAUUACUGGAUUUCAUCACUUAUUCAUUGAAUUUGGACCUCAUUUGGACUACUUAGCAGUUUUGAAAGACCUCUUCUGUUUUGUUUUACACAUAUACUCUUGGUAGAAAACCUUAAGAGUUUUUUACAAUAUUGUUUUAUUCUGUAUACUUUCACUGUUUAGUAGAAGAGCUUGUUUACACUGCCGUCCCUCUUUGUUAGGCUGCCAUCUAGUGUAUGCAUAUUUAUUUUAAACAGCCUUCAAUUGAUUUUAAGGUCUGUUAACAUCAGCGAUUCACGUUUAUGAUAUUAUACCUUGCAAUUAUAUAUAUCAGUUGAGACAUUUGUAGUCUCUCCAUUUGCACUAACUGGUAAGAUUUUUCUUUUUUAGCUUUUAUGGGGGCUUUUCUUUACCAGUAGAGAUCUCCUGUUUGUUUUACAUCUCUUUUCCUGUCCAUCUGUCUCCACUCCCCAGGGCUAGUUUGUUCUGCCCACUAUACACAUUCUUAUUUAUUUGCGGCGACUAUAACUGCAUGCUGGACCCAAAGGUUGAUGUUUCAGGAUAUGAGAUACAAUCUGUUGGUAACUGUUAGUAUCUCGUUGGGAUAUGACCUGUAACUCUAGUGCCUGGGCGAUAAUUGGGUUAAGCAACUGUUUCUUUUUCUUCUUGAAAGCUAAUGAUCAUUACCAUAUCAAAGGACUUCCUGUCUGAGAGGCAAGCAAGACAUAGGGCAGAUGUGAGAAGUGGUUUGUGCAGAGCCCAUACUUCCAGGCCACUUAUGUGUGACUUCUCACACCUUACAGAAUAGCCCUAUGUGAGUUCCAGCUUCAAAGAGGAACUUGGGCUGCAAGCUCAGACCUUCCAGGCAAUCAAUUAACCCCUUUUAAAAUGUUGAAAUGUGUUUGCAGGGUGUUGGGAACUAUUAUAGAUGUUUCUGUACCUGAGGGAUAUUUAAAUUAAAGAGGCUUCCUCACGCAACUAUCCCUCAGGCACAGAGGAUCUUGGGAGAAAAGACCCUGCAUGUUUGUGUUGGAAACCCCUUGUAGGGGACUUUUGCAUACGAAGGCCUUGUGUGGCCCUGAAUAAAGACAUUUCUGUUGUACCCUUCAUCAAGUCUUGGCUGAUGUUUGGGUAACCAAGGGUGUGUCUCUUUGUAUGUUUCACCCUCACAACCUCUUUGCUUGUCUUACUUCCCCCAGCCCAUUCGUUUCUUUUACUCUUCCCAGUUCCUUUGUCAGUGUCUCUUUCACCCCCAGGCCCCUCUGUGUGUUCCCCCCCCCGCCCCCCCGAGUCCCUAUGUGUGUCUCUUUCUCCCCUACCAAACCCUUUGUUCUUCUCUUUCGUUCCUUCUUCAUCUCUCUGUGUGUCUCUUCCACUCCCCCCGUCCCUUAAUGAUCUCUUUCACUCCCAUCUGUCCCUUACUGAUCUCCUCUUCCCUCCUGUCCCUUAGUGUACACCUCCUCUUCCUUACAGCUUUACAGACCACAUUAACAUGCACAGCAUAUUUAUCUCCUGGGAAUCAAACUCCUUUAUCGCCCUCUCAUAUGCCUGUCAUGGCUGAACCUUCUCCAUUUUAUGCUCCUUCCACCCAUAUUUCACCUCCUCCUAGAUAUGCAUUUCCUUAUCCAAGUGGAAAAUUAUUUCAAAACAUAUCCUAGAUCCUUUCCUACUGAUCAUUUGAAGGAUGGGUUCAUAAGGGAUUGUCUUACUGGUAAAGCAUUGGCAUGGAUCAAUCCACUGUGGGAAAAGAAUAAGCCUGUAAUAUUCAAAAACUCUGAGUUUGUAUCCACUUUCCAUAAAGUGUUUGAGACACCGGCAGAGCUAGCAGUGUGGGCAAUUAUGCUAUACAAUUUCAGGCUUUUGAGGUAGAUAAGGUAUAACAGUGGUUUUAGUUACUUCUUUUCUGGAGGGACUUAUUUAUUCCCUACAAGAUGAGGUUGCUGUCAGGGAGCUUCAAAAAGAUCUCAAUGUAUCUUAUAUGUUUUAAGGCCAUAGGCCUGUAUUUGUGGGAGGAGUUCAAAUCUAUUGUUGACCUAUAAAAAACCCAAUCACCCUCUUACCUGGGCCGUGCCCGUUCAGGUGAUACAUUACCUUGGUUACCACAAACAUUUCCUGAAUACACCUUGUUCCAGCAUCCUACUACUUGUCUACACAAAAUCGACUGCUGUCCGUAUCGAUAGCUGCCUCCAUCUGCUUCAGAGCCUCGCUGCCAGUCGUUUCCUGUAUCCAAUCUCGUCUUUUUUUGCAGGUAACACAAGGUGUUCUUUCGUGUGCCUGCUGCUGGAGCUUCCCCCGGUUUUCCUCUGUUCAUGAACGGUGUUCGGCUCCUUUUGGAGUUUUCGUGCCUUACUGGCAUUUCGCAGGUUUCGUAUGUUUUCGUUUGUUUUCCCGUCGUUCGUAUAAGUGAACGUUCACUUAGUCAUUUCACUUUCUAUGGGUUCUAACUGUUCGGCGCUUUGCCUCUUGCAUUCGUAUACUUAAGCCCUGAAGUCUGCAUUUGCAUAAAUUACAAUUAUGUUUUUGUUCGGUUAUUUGUUUAGUUUGUCCUUGACGUUCGAGUUCUUGAGCUCUGGUCAAGGGGGACUUUAGACUGUUCGUGUGUUUGUAUUUACCAUUUGGUAUGUUCCUCCUGAACUGUCAAGCAUUGCUCAGUUCGGGAGAAAAUCCUAGUUUUUCAGGUAAUUGUGAAGUAUGAUGAUUUUGGUACUUUUGUGCAAUAGAUGUUGAAUCGGUUCUUUGCUAUGGAACAAAUUAUUUUGUUAGGUUAUUUUGAUAUUUACUUUGCAUAGUUCAUAAGUCUUGUUCACUUAAUUUUGGGAAAUAAGUUCAUAUGAGGCGAAUUCAAUUCACUCUAUUUUUAGGGGCUUAUCUAUUAUAUGGGUUUCCUGACUGGUCUAUACAUUUGCAUGUUAUACAACAGUUUUGUUACGUUCUUUGUUAUUGGAUACCGUAUAUUAUGCUAUGGGGGGGUCAACAUUAGUGUAUCGUAUAAUAUGUUUUUACAGUAUUUUCUUUACAAACUGUUCACUGUUAAAUUUUGUCCAUGUGUAAAUCAGGUCAGGCAGACAUUUUUUUUUUAAAUAAACCUUGCAUACAUGCACAUCUGGCCUUCUAGGUCUGGAAUUUUGAAUUAUAUGUAUAGUUGUAUUGAUGUGCAAUAAUCUCUCAUAGGCAUCAUAAGCCAGACCCUUCGUGGUCUUCCCAGCAGUUGUCGCAAGCAUUUAUGUCCAUACUGUUUACUUUAUGGUAUUUAUUGUUACGUUAUUUUCAAUUUAAUGCCUUUACACACUGAAGGUAUCACUCUGAAUUAUUUCUCAUGUUGGGUCACGGAUUUUUCUGACAUUUACGCAUCUUAUACGCCCAUCAUUCCUUGGGGUUGGGUGAGGUUUUCCUCUUUUACUUUGACCCUCGUAUGGUCCGCGAUAAACAUAAGUUAACAAUCAAAUGCACACUUAUGUCUAUAUACCAUAGGACCUGCGAGUAGAAAAUAUGUCUGCUACCUACUAUAUACCGCGACCUGCGAGUCGCCGAUGCAUACCUAUAAGAACACUCUCCCAAUGGGACUAUUGAAACAAGAUAUCAAAGGGAUCUGCGUGUCCAAACUGCUGUUCUCUUACGUGAAAUGAUAAAAAAAACACUCAGUAAAGUUCUAUUUACAAAAACAAAAAUCCCAAUAUGGAAGAAAUAAGAGCACAGAUUAAUUACCAAGGGGUAAUGGAAAAAGCAGUAUAUUAUAAUGGUACUAUAACAAAAUAUAAUAAUAUCUCGGAUGUUUGGUUUACAUAUUUUAAAGAGUGAAUUCUGUCCUCAUAAUACAUAUUACCUGUCAUUGAUAUGUCUAUUGUACCUUUCGUAUAAUGUAUUAUUUAUCAUGUACGUUUUAUACUUUAUGUAUCGGUUUCUUUUUUUGUUUAAUAAAGGCUUUCAAUUGAAACAAUCAAAUGCUUAUAAGUUAUGGUUUCUGUUUUUAUAAUCCCUUGGUGGCAUUUUAAUUAAAGGUAAAAAAUAUGUAUAUUUUAGAAUCAUUGGUAUACUUUUCAGCUAUUAGAGGACAUGGUGUAUUCAUCUAUUCCUCAUGUACUUUUAGUUCUCUCAGUGAUACUUUAAUGUUACCCCCUUUUUUUGGUUUUUAUUAUACUCAUAGGUAUACGUAUUACUUUUAAUCAUAGAUCUCUAUAAAAAGUCCUGUUUCUUUGGAGAUGUAAUCUACUGACCACAUUUUGAUAUGUGGAUUAUUUUCUCUAUUUUUUCUCUCUUUUUAUACCACUACUUACUUCCCCCAGUAAUUUCUGUAUUUACUCCUAAACGUGUAUUCUUUUCCUGUAUUUUUACUUUUCUGUCAUAGACUACACUUUUACUUAGUAAGGUACGUGCCUUCUCCUCUCACAUUAGUCCUUGCUUUUGUCAAGCCCACGUCCAGCGAUAGAGAACUGGCUUAUAGGUUCAGGUGCUGCCUUUAAUGUUGUGCAUGUUAAACUCACAAACCAGUGAGGCCACACUCCCUACCUCACUGCUGAAGUUUACCCACGGCCAUACGUCAUAUACUCUUCUUUAAUAUGGUGUGGUGUUUUUAUGUAGUGUUGACAUUUGGAUGCAGAGUUGUAUUUGUGUGUAGUGUAGGCGAAAUGCUGAGAUUUAUGCAUAUAUACACAUAUACUCAUAUAUACACACACUGGCACACAUACACAGACACAUAGGUACACACAUGCAGUUACAUAGAAACACAGCCAUACACAGAUACAGACAAACACUGACACACACACAUACAGACACACAGAGAGACACACACAGGCACAGACACACAUACAGAUAGAGACACACACAUACAGACACACAAACAGAUACACAGACACACAAACAGAUACACAUACACACACUGACACAUACAGAUACAUAUAUACCAACACACAUACAGAUACACAGACAUAGAGAUACACAAACAUACAUGUAUAAGUGUGUGUCUGUGUGUGGGUGUUUGUAUAGUGUAGUAGUGAGGGGGGUGAUGGUGAGAGGGAGAGAGCAGUGAUGGUGAGAGGGACAGGGCAGUGAUGGUGAGAGGGAGAGGGAGAGGGCGGUGAUGGUGAGAGGGUGGUGAUGGUGAGAGGGAGGGGGUGAUGGUGAGAGGAAGGGGGUGAUGGUGUGAGGGAGGGGGUGAUUGUGGGAGAGGGUGGGGGAUGAUGAGAGGGAGGGGGUGAUGGUGAGAGGAGGGGUGAUGGUGAGAGGGAGGGGUGAUGGUGAGAUAGGGGAGAGGGGGUGAUGGGAGAGGAAGAGGGGGUGAUGUAAGGGAGGGGUGAUGAGAGGGGUGAUGUGAGAGGGGGGUGAUGGUGUGAGGGGGUGGUGGUGUGAGGAAGGGGGUGAUGUGAGGGUUGGUGAUGGUGGGAGGAGGGGUGAUGAUGAGAGGAAGGGGGGUGAUGUGAGAGGGAGAGGGGGGUGAUGUGAAGGGGUGAUGGUGUGAGGGAUGGGGAAGGGGGGGACUAAAUACCUUAAUUCCCUGGUGGUCCAGUGGGCUCCCUGGUGGUCCGGUGGCCAUAAUAUCCGGUGAAUGAAUCUCGUGAGAUCCAGUCAGUGCAAUACUGUGGUAAACCGUGGCAACACUCUGAUUGAUCAGAUCUCGCAAGACACAUGGUCUGCACACUGCGGAGCUGCAGACCGGUGUCUGCGUUGGGCGCAGGAGGUGCAUUGCACCCUGCGGCAUAUGGAGCAAGCCGCCAGGCCCCCUCCUGGUGUCGGGUACUCGGUCAGUGACCCAGGACCCAACGCAGUCUGCCCAGGGCACCCCCCUAGUGAGUGGCACCCAGGGCGGACGGCCCCCUCCAGGUAAGCCACUGAGUGCAUGUCGGUUGUUGCACAUCUGUUCAAUAUGCUUUAGGGCCCACUCAAAAUCUAUGUGCCCAGACCUGCCAUGCAUUGGGAAAACAAGUGCCUAGCCACAACCAUGGAGGAUGUAGUUCAGCUUAUGUUGUUGGAGUAAUUUUAUGCAGCCUUCUCUGCAGAGCUCCCGGAAUGGGUAAGAUAUCGACGUCUCCUUACACUUCCAGAGGAAGCUUGUCUGGCAGAUGAAUAUGCUGAUGCCAGGUGGCUGGACCAACAGACGCAACGGGCACCCCAACACCAUCAAGCCCCGCAGCGACCUCCACCAUAACUGAUACCAAGAUUGAUACCAGCCCCAGUGAACACCACCAAUCAGAAUGGAAACUGUUGUUUCUAUUGAAAACAGAUUAGACAUAUCCAAAGGGACUGCCCCAUGGCCAACACAAGAGCGAGUUCCACAGCACCUCGAGCUGCUGCUCUAUGCGUGGAUUACAAUAUUACUCUGACCCCAGAAAGAGAGGGAUUUAAUACCAUGGCAUCCUAGGGUACCCUCUAGAAGGUCACGUACAGGCGGCAUCCACAGAUAAUCACCAGCAUCACUACCAACUGGUGCUGGUAAACUUGCAAGAGUGCACCGGGACACAGGUGCAAUUCUAACCAAAUACACUUGGUUGGUGGUACAGAAAACCCAGGGAAGUCAGUAGCCAUUCGGGUGGCUGGGGGAGCCAUACACUGGCAACCUACUGCGCAAAGCCACCUAGACUGGGGAGCCAGAUCCGGCACCGUAGAUGUUGGCAUCAUGAGGGACCUGCCAGCAGGUAGUAUUGUUGGGAUAUCCAGCAAUAUUGCCAGACGUGUGAUACCUGCCAGAGAGCUGGGAAGAAUAUAGACCAUCCCUGGGCCAAGUUGCAUUUGAUGCCCAAAGUAGAAGAGCCAUUUACUAGGGUGGCUGUAGAUAUAGUAGAACCAUUAUCUAAGCCUAUUCCCUCUGUUAAGAAAUAGAUCUUAACAUAGUGGAAUACGCUACCCAAUAUUGAGAAGCGGUGGUAUUAACAAAUAUUCAAGCAGAAACUGUAGCAGAUGCACUGGUAUGAAUCUUCUCUAUAGUGGGAUUUGCCCAGGAGAUAGUCUCAGGUCAUGGCACCCAAAUCGCUGCUGAAGUCACGCACCAACUCUGGAGGCUAUGGGGGACCACUGCAUAACUCCCACUAUCAUCCCCAGACCAACGGUCUCUGCAAGUGGUUUAAUAGAACGCUGAAGCAGAUGCUUCAGAUGUUCACUACUGCUUGUAGGGACUGGGAGAGAUUCCUACCCUACCUCCUCUUUGCAUACUUGAAGUUUCUGCAUGAAUCCACAGGGUUCUACCCUUUUAAGCUCUCAAUCUCAUACUAGGAAGGAGAAACCAAGGUAGAAGGUAUCCCGAUCAUGCCAUACAUGCUGGAGUUGAGGGACCACAUGGAGAAGCUUACCCAGACUGUCCAAAAGAACCUCCAAGCAGGGCCAGCGCAUCCUAUAAGUGACUUAGGCACCGGCCCAGGGGGCACAAGAUUUGAGUGAGCCGGCAGGAGGGAAGCGCACAUCGCUCCCUCCUACCUGUCACUCAGUGUAGUGUGGCCGGGCAUCGGACCGCUGUACAGAAGCAUCUGUUUCCAGUACCCGGCCGGACUGACAGGAAGUCACAGGAAGCACUUCCUGUCAGUCCAGCCACAGGAAAUAAAAGCUCCUGUAACGUGGUUUGCCGCCCGCGCCACCCAGCCACGCUAAAAAGAUAUGUAGGGGGCACGGGGGAGAGAACCACUGAGGGGGGAGGGAGAUAACCACCAAGAAGGUGGAGGUAGCACCACUAAGAGGGAGGAGGGGGUAGAGGUACAACCACUAAAGGGGAGGGGGGAAAUGUGAGACAGGACUACUAAAGGAGAGGGGGUGAGAGAGUGACAGGACCACUAAAGGGGAGGGGGUGAGAGAGACAGAACCACUAAAGGGGAUCGAGGGAGAGAGACAGGGCCACUAAAUGGGAGGGGGUGAGAGAGACAGGACCACUAAGAGGGGAGGAGAGGGAGGACUACUAAGGGGGAGAGAGAACCACUAAGGGGGGGAGACCACUAAGGAACAGGGAGGGGAGAGGAACACUAAGGGAGGGGAGGAGAGAGCACUAAGGGACAGGAGAAAUUACUAAUGGACAGGAGGGGAUAGAACCACUGAGGGGGGAAGGAGAUGACCACCAAGAAAGUAGGCAGGUAGCAUUAAGAGGAAGGAGGGGGGAGAGGUAGGACCACUAAAGGGGAGGGGAGAGAGACAGGACUACUAAAGAAGAGGGGGUGAGAGAGCCAGGACCACAAAAGGGGAGGUGCGGGUGAGAGAGACAGGGCCACCAACGGGGUGGGGAGAGAGACAGGACCACUAAAGGGGAGGGGUUGAGAGAGAGAGACAGGACCACCAAAGGGGAGGGGGUGAGAGAGACAGGACCACUAAAGGGGAGAGGGGGAGAGACACAGGACCACUAAUGGGGAGGGGGGGUGAGAGAGACAGAACCACUAAAGGGGAGUGAGGGUGAGAUAGACAGGACCACUAAAGGGGAGGGGGGAGUGAGACAGGACCACAAAAGGGGAGCGGGGGAGUGAGACAGAACCACUAAAGGGGAGGGGGGAAAUGGACAGGGCCACUAAGAGGGGGGGAGACACAGGGAGGGGAGAGGAACACUAAUGGAGGGGGGAAAGAGCACUUAGGGACAGGGGAGAUCACUAAGGGACAGUAGAGGAGACCACUAAGAGACAAGGGGAGGAGAGGAGAUGAGACCACUAAGGGAAGGGGGGAGUGAAAGAGAUCAUUAAGGGAUGGGGGGAGUGUAAGACAAACAGAGAGGCUGUGGAAGGGGUGAAAGUGAAGCAUAGAGGGGCUGGUAGGGGAGACAGACACUCAGAGGGGCUCAGGAGAGAGAAGCACAGAGUCACUUGUGAGGGAGACACACAGAGAAGCCUGGGGGGAAAAGAGACACACAAAGGAGCUGGAAAGAGUAAGACACAAAGGGGCUUGGGGGAGUAAGACAUACAAAGGGGGGGGGGUAAGAGGCACACAAGGGGCUUGUCAGAGUUAAACUAAAGGGAGGUGUAAGACACAAAACUUAAAGAAAAGAAUAUACAAAAAAAGUAUAUUAACAAAAUAAAUAUAAUAAUAACAAUAAAGAGCUGCUCCCCUCUCAGCCCAUACCCUACCCCACAAACCCUCUCUUUCACACUACACACAUAAACUUGGUAUCCUUACACAUACACACACAUGCAUAGAAACAUACAAUGCAUCCCUACUCACACACAGACACACUGAAACAUACAACGCAUCUUACACUCACACAGACACACUGAAACAUACAAUGCAUCCUACACUCACACAGAAACACACAACACAUCCAUUGCGCACACAUACAAACACAAUGCAUCCCUUACAUACAAAAACACACAAUGCAUCCCUUACACACACACACACACACAAAAAUGCAUAUCUUACACACACUCAAUGCACCCCUUACAGACACAUACACUGCAUUACAUUACAUACACAGAAACACACCUUGCAUUCCUUACACAUACAAACACCGAUUCACUAAAUGCAUCCCUUACACACACACCCAGAAACACAAAAUGUAUUCCUUACACACAAACACACACUGCAGCCCCUAAUCCCCUAUACACACACACUACAUCCCUUACGCAUCCCUUGGUAUCCCUAUACACUACAUUCCAUAAGAACACACACGCAUUACAUCCUCACAAUUUCACCAUACACUACUGGCCCAGGAAGCAGAACAGGAAUACCGAUGGGUUGUCCCGGCAAACCGAGCGUGUAGCCCAGGACUGUUAAUGUUUGGGAACUUGCCAUAGAAGAAAAAGGAAAAUAACACAGCUCUGGUAUGUUUAUUUGUUUUUGUUUUUUUGUUAUUAAUAUUUAAAUCUAAGCUCUGGCAAGUAUGGUCAGUGGAGUCUGUUAGAUGCUGGCUUGAGAGCACUAAGGGAUUCAGAAACUUAUUCAGAUUCUUAUAUUUUAUGGUGCAUCCAGAGAGGCCAGGGGGAAUUUCCCCUCUGCCCAAUCUGCCACUCUAAUACAAAUAAUUCUUGACAGAUAAUUUAAAGAUGAAACUCCUUUGAUAUGUUGUUUCAGGGAAAGAAUAAACUUUCUGGAACUACUAGGAGUAAAUAUUUUGCUUUGUAAUAGCCUAGGUGAUCUAAACUGUGAAUAAAGUACACAAUGGGGGAUGGAGUGAAGAGUUAAUGCCAGCAAAAGAUGUAUAAUGUAGUCCUUGUCUAAGAAGGAGAAUACAGAUUCUCAUUCUUUGACAUGCUGCUGUUUAAUCCAGAUUUUUACAGGGGAGUCAGUGGGGCUAUGACUUCACUGUCAUAACCCCUCAUGACAUCCAGUCUUCAAUCUCCCUCCAGUGUCACUCACCCACCUCUCUCCACUCUUGAGCAGCAGGCAGCAGCUAAGCAGAAAUUAAAGGAAGAGCAGUUAAAAAAAGCACAUGGAGACAUACAGUCAGCAAAUGAGGAACCGUAGUUUGCUUCAGUGCAAUCCAGCCAUGUUAAAGGUAAGAAGAAGUGGCAAUGACCUUAUUCUGUUAAAUAUUUUUUUUUUUUUUUUUUUAAAUUCUUUAUUUAGUCGUGCGACAAUAGAACAAUUUUACCUAUUCUGCCACAACAGCAGAAGUAGGUUAUGAACAAGCAUACAAUUGCGAGGCAUAGGUAAGUAUCAACGAUUAGACAGCACUUUUUGUAAUAUAUCAACUGCAUUUGAUAGGACAUGUCGGUGAUGAGGUGAGUGCUUUUCGGGUGCAACAGGGCAUGUCAGUGCUCACGGGGUGAAUCAAAGCUUGUAAUUGCGGGUCUGAGACUAGGUGUUGAGCUAAGAAGGUUUUUGUCGUAUGUCCAUUGUGUCACUAUCUCAGGUCCCUGCUCCUAACAAACAAUACUCUAUACGAUCUGCAACUAGGUGUGUCGCUGUUAGGGGUGGUGUCUGUGUAUGGUUAUGUGACAGGAGGGUCAGGAGUGUAUUUACAUUCCCUUUGGCUUCACUCUUGUGUCUGCGUGUUUCACUAGAUCGUUUAUGUACCGUUUUGCUAUUUGUGCCCCUAACCAAGGGGGCGGCGGGGGGGAGGGAGGGGGGUUGGUAGAGCAUCUCUUAAUGCUGUCUGAGGUGGGUCUGGGUGCCCUUAAGGGGGGUCCCCGUUGUUAAAGGAGUAUAGGUAGAAGACCCUGUCAUACAGGUUGGGGAUGGUAAGUGUUCUGGGGUAUUCAACCUAUAUACAGAUAAACCAACAUUCGCAUUGCUAUUAUCUGGGUCUUUUUGUAGUGUCCUUGGUAUUGUUUCUUCUCGCCGUGAUUGGGUGGGCAAGCGGUGCUUCAAGCCAAGGGAGUGCCAUUUUCUAGGUCCCUCUGGCCCUCUGAUGUGUCUACAGUUGUCAGUCCCAGCGUUUCAAGAAAAGAUGAGGCUUCCGCAAGCGAGGUGAGUGUGAGGGUAGUCCCAUUGUGUGUAGUUAAGAGUGAGCCCGGCGCUCCCCACCUGUAGGUGAUAUUGGCGGUACGUAGUUGUUGGGUCACUGGAUGAAGUGAUCGGCGCCACUGUAAGGUGGCCCUCGUCAAGUCCUGAUAGAAGGUGAGACUAGAGUCUUCAAACAUUAGUGGGGUCAUUCUGUUAAAUAUUUUAAGAGGAAAUUAGAUGUAGGGUGGGUUUGUGAAGAGUUAAAGUAAGUUGGAGGGUGUCUAGGAUUGAUAGGUACUGUGGAGAAAUAAUAUUAAGGGAGGCUGGAAUGCAUUGUAGAGUACCCAACCUUCCUCAAAUGUAUGCACUAAAGUAGCAAACAAUGUACCAACUAAUUAUUCACACUACCCCUGCCCACUCCAUAUUCCUUCCCCACAUUGCCUCCCAUCCAUCACACUCUCUAUCCCUUCCCAACACUGCCUCCGAUCCGCUAUCAUUUCCAACACUGAAUCUCCCACCAACCCUACCCUCUAACCAAUUCCCACAUUGCAGCCCUACCCUCUAUCCCAUUCCUACAUUGCAACCAAUUGCCUCCCUAAACCCUCACGUCUAUUUCCCACAUUGCCUCCCAUUCUCCACAUCCCCUAUUCCAUUCCCUAUACAAUAUUUCCAUAAUCCCUCCCCUUAUCUCAUUGUACACAGUGUCUCUCACAGUCUAUCCCUUUGCUUUCAAUGCCUCUAUCCCAUCCCACUUCCCACAUUGUCUCACACACCUGUCAUCUCAUUCCUAUGGUAAUUAUGGUAUUACACAUAGUGCCCCCCAUCUACUUACCAUCUUAUUCACUAUUUGUUUACUUGUCAGCUCAUUUACUGUGCUUCUUUCUCACAACUCCCCUACUUAAAUCUUUCUUAAACAAACUGACAAAACUUAUGUGUGUUUCCCUUCUAUCCAACUCCUUGUGAGCAUCUCUUUAUACCUAUCUUACAAUGACUCGUUCUGUGCAGUAAAUUUGCUGUGCUGGUGCUGUGUGAGAAAAGAGAGAGGCAUGAUUUGACAUUGAUCCUGUAUCCAUCACCUUAAAACAUAACACUUUUGUUAUGUAUUAAGACUAGAGUUGCGCGAACAUUAAGUUUUUUGGACCCCGGACCCGAACACAGACAUAUCACUGUAUGUUCUGGUUGGAGUUCGGUGUUCCGUGAUUUAAUGAUGCGUUUUGAAAGGCUGCAGGGCAGCAAAUCAACAAGCGUUUGACUCGUGUGCCCUAGAAGCAAUCACAGCCAUGCUUACUAAUGGCAUGGAUGUGAUUGGCCAGUGCAGCAUGUGACCCAGCUAGUUCCCGUUACAUAAUCCACCAGAGUGCUCUGUGUUAUUUUACACAGCGUGGGAAAAUUCCAAUAAACUUUCCCACGCUGUAUAAAAUGACACAGAGCACUCUGAUUGGUGGAUUCCAAGCCAACCAAUCAGAGUGCUGUGACAGGUAAAUGUAGAGACUUACCUGUCAGCCUCUUCACUUACCUGUCAGAGCACUCUGAUUGGAUGGCUUAAACCCACCAAUCAGAGUGCUCUGAGCCUAAUUGCAGGGCGAGGCAAGGCUUUAUAAGAUGGAUUUAUUUUUAUUUGCGCUCUUUUUUUUUUUUUUAAAUUGCGUCGGUUAUUAUGGAUUUAUAUUUGGCCUUUUUUGGGGCUGAAAAAAGAUUUUAGAAGAAAGAAGACAUCAAAUGGUAAGUCUAUACAUUUUUUUUAACAGGUAUUUAGAUAAGGGUCCUCCCUCAUUAUUUUUAGGAUGAGGGGGGUAGGUAAGGGUAAAUUUUUUGGGGGGAGGAGGUUGACUAGGGAUUUGGGGACCCCUAGUCACCUGGGGGGUAAAAAAUGUUUUGGGGUCCCCACCCGCCGCUCAGGGUGUUUAGGGCCCCCAUCCCCAAAGGCUGCUCACGGUUUACUAGACACGCCCCUACUCGCGUUAUAGUGAGAAGGGGCAGAAUUUACUAAUACUAAGUAAUCUUUACUUAGUAUUAGUAAAUUUGGCUGAAAGACCAAUUUAGGUCUUUCAGCCUUUUAGUAGAUAGCUCUCUAAUACCGUGGGAAUUAGGGAGUUAUCUACUAAGCGGCUGCUUAUUUUAUGUAUUUUAUGUUAUUUUAAGUGAUUCCCUAUCCACAUUUGUUUGCAGGUCACUUGUCCUACUCUUACCCCCAUCUUACUUCCUUUUGCAGCCAUCUAGCCCUUUCCAGAAGUUUUUUAGAGCCAUUUUUGUGCCCAAAAGUUCGGGUCCCUAUUGACUUCAAUGGAGUUCAGGUUCGGGGUCAAGUUCGGGGUCAAGUUCGAGCCCGAACCCGGACUUUUUUUCAAAGUGCGGCCGUACCCGAACAUCCAGGUGUCCGCUCAACUCUAAUUAAGACUAAUGAAAAGGCAAGGUGUGGCAUUGUUCAGGUACAUCGUUUCCUAGGGUUAAAUUGCUCUCAGUUUUGAUACCAUAGCAAUCCCAAAAUUCAUAUUACUCGCACAUAGUAUUUGCAAAAGUAGGCUAUUUUACACUAUUUUCAGUCUUUUCAUGAAUCUACUUCACAAACUACUCUAACUGCACACCCUUUGUAUUUAGCUACAUUCAUAUGUAUACCAGUAUAUCCCAUGUUUAGAUUUAAACAGUAUCUCACAGCCAGGCUGUUAGUGAAGUUAAAGGUUAUAUUAGACAAUAGAGACAGGAGAGCAGAUUAAAACUUUGAUACAGUGUCAAUGGCAUCAUGGCUUUUGCCUCAGCAGAAAUAAAUCUUCACAUUAAAAUUGAACUUCUUAAAUUAAAAUGAAAUAACGUUGUUCCUGACUCCAAUUAAGCAUUGGUAUUGAAAGUUUUCUUUAUUUUAACGGUUUUGCUUGAGUAUUUUUUAAAUUCUUUCACAGUCCACAAUUCAUUAUAGACCUCAGUAACGCCACCAUAAAAAGUGUUUGAUUUCAGACAAAACUAAUUUCUUGUUAAUAAAGAAAUCUUAAUAGGCUGAGAUUGUGAUAUUAUCGAUGGACACAUUUGGUUAAGCAUGAUUUUCACGAAUUUGCAGACUUUGCAAUUGCAUCACAGUUUGAAGGUUAUCGUAAAACAAUACAGUAAGAUAGAAUCAAGUGCAAUUUUUUAGCUGCAGAUGGCACAAUAAACCCACCACCAACAGUAAGCUUGUAAUAUGUGCAGUACAAGUGGUGGUAUAGUGUGGAAAAUGACAGGGGGGGGGGUGCAAGGACAUUUAAGAGAAAGUAUCCGGGGCACAAUUGGGGGAUUUAAUGGGGACUGAGACUUCUGUUUAUAAUGGAGGGGCAAGUGCCUAAAGUAAACAAAACUUUCAAAGGGCCCUGAUUUUGCACAUGAGAAAAAUGUUGAUUUAAUUAAUAUUAGUACAUACAUAGUUACAUGGCUAAAAGGAGAAAUACGUCGAUCAAGUUCAGUAUUCCUCAUAUCUGUUUUUGUUGAUGAUCUAAAAUAAAGCAAAAACCCAGGAAAAAAUUCUGACAGUCAAACUAGGAAAAAAAUUCUGGCAGUCAGAUCUCUUCAAGAAGCUAUUACCCCACAAAUUAAAAUUUAAAUCCCUGAAUAUUGUUUUUUAAUCCAAUUCAUCCAAUUGUACAGAUUCGGAUAACACCACCUCUUCAGACAGAGAAUUCCACAUCCUUUCCUUUGCUUUAGACUAAAUUGCCUUUCUUCAAAUCUAAAUAUCCUAUGUAUAGUCCUGUUUAUUAAUAGAUUUCCAGGUAUUGGUAUUGGCCCAGAAUAUGUUUGUAUAAUGCUAAGCAUAUCCCCUAUGAGGCACUAUUUCUUCAAACUAAAGAGAUUUAAAUGUGUUAACCUUUUUUUCAUAACUAAAAGGUUCCGUUAAUUUUCUGCACUUUUUCUAGUGGCAUAAUAUCCUUCUUUAAAACUGGUGCCUAAUUUAUAAAGAGGCAAAAUUAUAUUUUCAUCCUGAUAAAUAAUGCCCCUAUUUAUACAUAAUUCUUUACUGGCCGUAGCAACUUAUAAUUUUAGAACUUUCCGAAAUUAUGUAUAUCCCUUCAGAAGGAAAAGUCAGUGCUUAAAGAAAUACAUUUAGGAUAUGGACAGGAGCAGUGGCAAUGUGUAAGCCAUUACAAAUGUUUUAUCAAUCCUGUAAAACAUAGUAUGUAAUACUGUACAUUAAUAUUGUAAAGCAGGGGUUAAAAAUAAAAUGAGCUAUUUGUUGGCAGACCCCCAAACUCAUUGACUUCAAAGAGUGACAGGUGAGACACAGAGUCACUAUGAGAAAAGAGGCAGGUCAUCAGACUAUGUGGUGUAGACAGUGAGUUUUGGCGUCAUUAACACCUGGUAAGACAAACAAAAAACACACUCCAUCACCUUGCAGCUUGCAAUGUGGAAUGCAUUCUUUUACUCCAUUCUUUCCCAAGGUGAAAAAUUUAAGAUGUUUAUGGGUGGCAUGUGAAAGCAUAUGUUCAAUAUCCUUUAACAAUAUAUAAAUGACAUCCACACUGCAUGGAUGAUCCAUUUAAUAUGUAUUAAUUGCCAGGGGUGAUAUAUUCAAUGUUUAAUGCAUUUUACUUAACAAGGUAAAAAAAAAAAUAUAUACAAAAUGCACAUAAUGCUUUUUGUUAAUCUUACUUUUUCUCUUUCCACAGCGCAAAAUCCUUGCAAAGGGAAGCUACUUGCAACAUAGUCUGCGCCACAACAGUCAUUGAUGGUCAUCUCCAAUGCCUCAGAUAGCAAAGAUCAUGAAAAAAAAUCUGCACAGAAGGAAGAUAUGUACUGUCAGGAGCUGUCUAUGCUGUUAGAUAAAUGAAGGAUAUGUAUGUACAGAAAAUGUAUGUCUCUUUCUCACUCUCAAACAGGAGUCUAACCAGUCACACACAUGUUUAUUUAGUCAGGAUUUAAGAGCCAGCAACCUAAGCAAUGCACUGAAAAACCUGUCAAGUAACAGUGCUAAAACUGCAUACACUACCUCCCAUCUUAUAUCUCAACUGAUUUCAAGCAACAUGGAAAUUGCAACACAAACAUAGUUAUUCACUAAAGUCUGAAUAACUUCAUACUUAAUGGAGAAAAGCAUUCCAGUGCAGUACGGGUCCAUUCAGAUGGCAAAAUCCAGACACUGUUCACACUAUUUAACAAUGUCUGGAUUAUGCAGAGAAAUAUCCAAAUGAACCUAAAUGUGGUCUGGAUUUCAGCCAGAUCUAAUGCUGUCAAACAUCUGAAAUCUGAGCCAAGAUUUAAAAAAUAUGUGCUAUUUUCAAGCUGGCAACUGGACCAUUGGAGGUGCAAUAAUUAACUAUGUGGCCACUGGCCAGAGCUUGUAAGCCAGCUUCCAUAGAUCCCUCUACACCUGCUGGCCCCAUCCAUGGGCAUGGGGUAG
rnacentral:lncRNA from 1 species